GCUCACAGCCAUACUACUCUAGAACCGCCUGAUCUCGGAAGCUAAACAGAGUCGGGCCUGGUUAGUACUUGGAUGGGAGACCGCCUGGGAAUACCAGGUGCUGUAUUGC
ensembl:rRNA 5S_rRNA 5S ribosomal RNA